rnacentral:rRNA from 1 species
GCUAAAAACCUAGCCCCAACAAACAGAAUUUAUAAAAUCAAUUAACUUAUAAAAACAAACCAUUUUAGCAUUUUAGUAAAGGCGAUUAAAAAACUUCUUGGAGCUAUAAAAAUAGUACCGCAAGGGAAAGGUGAAAUAUUUAAUGAAAAUCCCUCAAGCAAUAAAAAGUAAAGAUUACCCCUUGUACCUUUUGCAUCAUGGUUUAACUAGUUUAACCAAGCAAAGCGUAUUCAAGUUUGACUCCCCGAAACUAAGUGAGCUACUUCAGGGCAGCUGAGAGAGCACACCCGUCUCUGUAGCAAAAGAGUGGGAAGACCCUAAAGUAGCGGUGACAGACCUAACGAACUUAGUGAUAGCUGGUUGCUCAAGAAGCGGAUUUAAGUCCAACCUGAAGCAUAAACUAGUCCAACAAAACAAUAAACUAGCUUCAGCGCAAUUCAAAUAAGGUACAGCCUAUUUGAAGCAGGAUACAACCUAAACUAAUGGAUAAGAUCAGCUUUAACCACAACCAAGUAGGCCUAAGAGCAGCCAUCUUUAAAAUAGCGUCAAAGCUUAAUUGUAUCAAAGCACAAUUUUUAUAUUUUAAUCUAAUCCUUCAUCUGUAUUGAGCAAUUCUAUAGCUCUAUAGAAAUUUUUAUGUUAAAACUAGUAACAAGAAGAAGACACUUCUCUUUAAUGUACAUGUAAAUCAGAAAGGACAAUCCGCUGAUAUUUAACGUCACUGAACCAAAAGUAGAAACCAAUCAAGAAAACCCUACUCCCACCAACGUUAACCUAACACAAGAACAUUACAAGAAAGAUUUAAAGAAAAAGAAGGAACUCGGCAAACUUUAACCUCGCCUGUUUACCAAAAACAUCGCCUCUUGACUACUUAUAAGAGGUCCAGCCUGCCCAGUGACCAUGUUCAACGGCCGCGGUAUCCUAACCGUGCGAAGGUAGCGUAAUCACUUGUUCUUUAAAUGAGGACUAGUAUGAAUGGCACCACGAGGGUUAUACUGUCUCCUUUUUCUAAUCAGUGAACCUAAUCUUUCCGUGAAGAAGCGGGGAUUAAACUAUAAGACGAGAAGACCCUAUGGAGCUUUAAACAACAUAGCACCUGCUAUUCAUCAUUUAAAUUUCAGAAUUUCCACUUCUACUAGCACUUUGACUAUAAGUUUUAGGUUGGGGUGACCGCGGAGCAAAGUAUAACCUCCCUGUUGAAAGAAUUUUAUUCUAAGCCAAGAGCCACGCCUCUAAGCAUCAACAAAUUGACAUCAAUUGACCCAAUAUAUUUGAGCAACGAACCAAGUUACCCUAGGGAUAACAGCGCAAUCCACUUCAAGAGCUCCUAUCGACAAGUGGGUUUACGACCUCGAUGUUGGAUCAGGGUAUCCCAGUGGUGCAGCCGCUACUAAAGGUU